CCCUCACUCAGGGACAUGUCCUAGUCUGUACAAAAACAAAGGCAAACAAACAAAAAUCCAAAACUCUCUAAAGAGCAAUAUUUGUUAGUGAUCCCUGUGGCUAGGAAUGGAUGGAGCGUUGGUGGGCAGAGAGAAAGCCCAUAUCCACAUGGCCCUGACAGAGGCCUCUGUGCCCAUCUGGAGUAGUGUUGGACACACUGCAAGCUGUACCUCAUGGCCCAGUUUAGAGACAUGGGCUGGAGGAGCAAGCAUCUGGAAGAAGAAAGGCCACAGUGAUGGCUCCCUCUGCAAGUGUCUUCUAGGAGGAGUCCCGGGAGCUGCGUGGGGCAGCCUUUCUUUUAAGGGGAGAACUGAGCACCACACCGGAAGCUCCCUGGACACGUGUGUCCAGCACACACAUGUUCUUCAUGCUUCCUGCAGCCUGUUCAUGUACCUCAUCACAGGACUCAGCGGUUUUAGUUUUUACUUCGUUUAUUUAGUUUAAAACAC
rnacentral:lncRNA from 1 species